CUGCCCUCUCCUUAUCACACUGUAUUUUUAAGAUGUUUUACUUAGACUUCACACCAAUUUUAUCGGCCUUAUCGGUAUCGGCCGACAAUUACCAUUUUAUUACCGACCGGAUACACUCGUUACCAUGGCAACGACGACACUAAUGGAUUGCGCCGUGUGUCUGUAAGAGCACACGGUUGGACGUAAACAUGCCGCCGUACUGUCGACUCAGGCUCUAAAAGUUUGGUGUGGGUGAAGUAAUGUAAUUAAAAAUAAAGUCAUUUAAUUACAGUAAAUUAGCACCCAUUAUUUCUGUCAUGUAAUGUUGGUUUGUAUUAGUUUUACUGUAUACUCUCAGGGUGGCUUAACACUCGGUAAUCCGUGCAGUGCGUGGGACCCAGUUAACUUUUGGACACCUCAAGUCCAGUAUAUUUGACUAGUGUGAGUGCUCUGAAGAGGUGAGCAAGACCGGUCACGGCAUAAUUGGUCAUGGAGACAGACUUGCGCACAUAAAAUUACUGUAACGUGAGCGCGAAUCACAAUGUUUAAUGAUAACCACCACUAGCAAAAAAAUAUAAAUAGGAAAAGUACCGUAAUGUCUCAUGUAUAAUGCGCAGUUCCUCCCCCCCAAAGUCAACAGUGCGCAUUAUACAUGGGUAUAGGGGGAAAUGAAAAAUUCACAUUAUAUAAUGCCAUCUAGAGGUUAGGAAAAAGCUGUACACUUUCAUCCCAAUAUGCCACUGCCCCCUAGAGGUUAUGAAAAAGUUGUACACUUUCAUUCUAGUAUGCCACCUAGAGGUUAUGAAAAAGGUGUAGCCUACACUUUCAUUUCAGUAUGACAGGGGUACAUAUGACUGCAUGGAUGCACAAUUCUGCUCAUAAGUUUACAUACCCAGGCAGAAUUUGUGAAAUAUUUUUUUAUUUAUUAAAUACGACUGAUGACUGAACAACAACCAUCAUUAAUUUCUUUAUUGUUGUGUUUUGUUUAAUGAUAAUGCUUUUCUGAAAUGCUUGACAGUUCAAUUUCAAUCCCAUUAAAAUAAAAUUAAAUAUCUUUCACCUGGUCCUUCAUGUUUUCUUUGAAGUGUUGUACCCAUCUUACAAAUUCGGCCUGGGUAAUCCAACAUAUGAGCACAACUGUGUGUUUUCUUAUUUACUAAAUAAAAGCAGGGCUGUGAAUUUCAAAAUAAGAGCUAGCAAAUAAAAAGAAAGUAUUACGUGUUCAAAUAAAGUGCUUAACUUCAGAAUAAUUCUUUGAAAACACAAAGAAAAUACAGAUAGUACUUCAUAUUUUGAACAUAUGGGUAGAAGCAAAAUCAUGCAUUGUAUAAAUGCAUUCUACAUCGGUAGAAGGGUUUUCCAGAAUUUUGAGGUCAACUUUAGGUGUGAGGAUUAUACACGAGAGAUUACGGUAUUUAAAUUCCGACAAAAUACGUUUAAAAAAAAAAAUUACUUCCUGGGUACAUGGGUACCACCUAGGUCAUAUAAUUGAUGUGAUCCCCUCUCUCUUCAGUUGGUAAGGUUGACAGCCAAGUCAGGAAAGUUGCACUUAACUCAUUCCCUGCCAAUGCCGUCAAAAGACGUCAUUCAGAAUCCAUCUAUUCCCUGCCAAUGCCGUCUAAAGACGUCAAUGGCGUUUUUUAACCGGGAUGGGUAGGGGAGGGUCUUGUGCAGUUUGUGUGAUUGUUGAGCCUCUGGAUAACUGCAAUGAGGAUUGGCACCCUGUAGAGGGGAACAAUGCCUUGAGGUAAACGUCCCUCCCUAAGAGGAAGAAGAGGAAGAAUGAGGAGGGGCCGGGGUGCAAGAGACAAUGAGAAAAGGCAAACAUAAUGGCGGAAAAGAGAAUAGAAAAUGAAAAAAAAUCUAACAAAAAAGCUUUCGGAACUAGAAAUUGAUUGCGCCAAGGCAAAAAAAAAAUAUUCCUGCGACCGACAGGAAUGACGCCUUAGAUCACGCGGGGGAAUAAAAGAGGACGCUCCAAGCCAGAAUGACGCUCCAAGAGAUGGCUUUGUUGCAAAGCUAUUGGCCAAAAUGGCGACAUCCUCGGCCGCUUGGCAGCUGAUCGUCUGCCGACCAGGAUUUGAGUAACUGGGAUCCGGAGUCGUCAGAUGAGUGAACGCCCUCUGGAUCGCCAGCCGAGCUUCAUCCCUCCGGAUGACAUGGAGACAAAGGAAUUCAACACCCGCGAGUCUUUUACGAUGGCGAUGAAGAAAAGUUAUGCAUCCAGCAGACGUUCGACCCCCAUUCCAGUAAGCAGCGCAGACAAAAGAGGUUGUGCUUCGACCAGAAGUAGGGACUGGUUUUCAAGGACAAUGACAACCACACAAGACCGACACCAGAAGAAUAAAAUCCAGAUGUGGAUAAAACUUUGCUAGAUUUUAUGCGGAAGGUAAUAAAAACCUGGACGAUUGAGCAAACGGUAGAGGAGGAGAAUUUGGAGAAAAAAAGUGCAAGUGUGUUUGUUUGUUUGUUCGUGCAUUUUUGUCUCAUGUAAAUUCUGUACAUAGUUAUACUUGUAAAUAAAUACAUUUUCUGUCAAAAGUAGUUUCUCAGUGUUGUUUUAUGUUCCGAGGUUUGAGAUUUUCACGAAAGAAAAAAAAAUAUUGGCGUCAAAGUCAUUGUUCUGCUUGAUGCGUCUGCUUUCACAAAAAGGCGGUUUUCUCAGUUUUUCUCCCUCCAGAAACAGAUUUGGCUGAAAGUAGCCAAUAUUUGACUGCUGAUUACUAAAGAACGGUAGAAGCUCCAGACAAACUUUUUUUUUCUUUCUUUUGGUGCUGUUGGUGUUUACGUCGCCAUAGUACACAAUAUUCCGCGGGGCUUGGGAAAUGAGGGAAAUUGCCGCAGUCCAUGCACUGGUUGCACAAUUAGUGCAGUGCUCAUUAACUACAGCCCAUGUCACAAAGCAGGGAAGUCCCUGUGGAAAUAAAGUUGAAGUUUGAAACUCUUGUCUCUUGUG